UACGUAGGGUGCGAGCGUUAAUCGGAAUUACUGGGCGUAAAGUGUGCGCAGGCGGUUUUGUAAGCCAGAUGUGAAAGCCCUGGGCUCAACCUGGGAAUGGCAUUGGAUACUGGCGACCUAGAGUGCGGUAGAGGGUGGCGGAAUUCCCGGUGUAGCAGUGAAAUGCGUAGAUAUCGGGAGGAACAUCCGUGGCGAAGGCGGCCACCUGGACCAGCACUGACACUGAGGCACGAAAGCGUGGGGAGCAAACAGG
rnacentral:rRNA from 1 species